rfam:Schistosoma margrebowiei strain Zambia genome assembly, scaffold: SMRZ_contig0002405
AGCUUUCUGAAUCCAUGCAGAAAUCUCGUCAGACACCAAACCGUUAGGGCUGAUCAGACUUCCAAGAUAAGUGAAGUU